rnacentral:lncRNA from 1 species
GACGCCAAAAGUCUGACUAGGACAAGUUCUUAAACUCAUAUGAUUGUGGCAAUUAAUGAACUCAUAAGUGUGGUUUUAUGAACUGGGUAUAGUUUGUGUGAAUGGAGCGUUAAGGAUUAUAGGAACAGAUAGAAUGUUUAAGCAAAUGAUUGUUAGUGGAGGCAUUAGGUUUUCCUAAACUCCUAGCUAUGCUAAACUUCAAAUUUUUGACAUCAAGC